AUUGAACGCUAGCGGGCGGCCUAACACAUGCAAGUCGAGCGGAGCGGCGGCCGGGUGAGGAAUGCCUAGGAAUGUGCCCGGUAGUGGGGGAUGACGUCCGGAAACGGGAGGUGAGAUCGCAUCCUAUAGGAUGAGGAUAGGGCGGAUUAGCUAGUUGGUGGGGUAAAGGCCUACCAAGUCGACGAUCCGUAACUGGUCCGAGAGGAUGAUCAGUAACACUGGAACUGAGACACGGUCCAGACUCCUACGGGAGGCAGCAGUGGGGAAUAUUGGACAAUGGGCGAAAGCCUGAUCCAGCCAUGCCGCGUGUGUGAAGAAGGCCUUCGGAUUGUAAAGCACUUUAAGUUGGGAGGCGUUACCAACAGAAUAAGCACCGGCUAACUCCGUGCCAGCAGCCGCGGUAAUAC
rnacentral:rRNA from 1 species